GUAAACAUAGUUUAAUCAAAACAUUAGACUGUGAAUCUAAUUAUAGAAGCCUACCACUUCUUGUUUACC
rnacentral:tRNA from 1 species